UACAGAGGGUGCGAGCGUUACUCGGAAUUACUGGGCGUAAAGCGUGCGUAGGUGGUGAGUUAAGUCUGAUGUGAAAUCCCCGGGCUCAACCUGGGAAUGGCAUUGGAUACUGGCUCGCUAGAGUGCGGUAGAGGGUGGUGGAAUUCCAGGUGUAGCGGUGAAAUGCGUAGAGAUCUGGAGGAAUACCGAUGGCGAAGGCAGCCAUCUGGCCUAACACUGACGCUGAGGUGCGAAAGCAUGGGGAGCGAACAGG
rnacentral:rRNA from 1 species